CGGUAGGAGGAGUUUGCGGAGCUCUGAAGUUUUGGGAGUCGCGAGCGCGAGACUGGCUCCGUGAGAAGGUUAGUAACGCAAACAAGUGGAGACUUUUAUGUCACCUAGUUAUUUAAACUUAGCUAGCUAGUUAGUAGUUUACAUUUUAGUUUAAAAGUUUUGACAGACCACCAGCUCACCUGUGCAGCACAUGACCUGCGUCACCCGCCGUCACGUGCCACAACACCGAUGAAGAAACUGAGAGGAGUAAAGUAAGCGAUGUGUUUUAACCACCUGGCCGUUGCUGUGCGAGGAUGUUCCUUCAGUAGAACUACUACGGAUCGCAGCGAGGUCUUCUGAUCGGUUAAAUCGGUUAUCCCCUCUUGUUUCGUGACAUUUUAGAGCAGAAAUCGGAGACAACUUCCAUGUGUGUUGAUAUUAAAAAGGGAUUUGCAGGUUUUUGCUCUGGAGGUCUGACUCUAGCUCUGACCUGUUUGGUUUAACUAUCAACUAAAACACGUGUUACUGAAAAGUCCAACUACCUUCAAACGCGUCAUUCUGGAAUAAAAAACCCUUCCAAAUAGAAGAUCUAGAAUUAUUUUCCUAGACUUUCAUUAUUUAGCUUUACAGUUUGGUGCAUUCAAAUCAGAGUCCUGACAGAUUAGAUCAGGGGUGUCAAACUCAAACUCACACGGGGCCGAAAUGAAACUCUGGGACGGAGUCGAGGGCCAAACUUAAUAUUUUUUGAAAAAGUGACGGCAAAUUUGCACAUUUUCUUUAUCAACAUAUAUGCAAUUUUGAACCUUUAAAUUUGGAAACAAACUUAUUUCUGCAUUAACACUGAAUGUGGAAUAACCAAAUGACACACGAACAAGUCAGUUUUAAAUAAAAGGCAUCAGUGGUAUUCAUUACUUGUGGUAUAAUCAGCAUUUUAUAAAUCUAUUCAGGAUUUAUGUUUUCUUGUUUAUUCAUUUUUCUUAUUUUUAUUCUCCUUUUUUCUCCUGUAAUACGUGUCAUCGCUGCUGUGACGUCUAGCUUUCCCCACUGAGGAACAAUAAAGGGAUUUUCUAUUCUAUUCAUCUAUCUGCAGCCUUUCCACUUCCUGUUUACUGUAGGUUAAAUCUUUUCUCACGGGCAACAACAAAAUAAAAUAUCAUUUUAUCUUAAAUGAAAAUGCAACAUCUCACCUGUUAACUUUCAUGUUUUGGAGCAGAAAAAGAGCAUCAAACCAACAUAUUUAAAGCUCAGUUUGCUCCACUGGUUUACUGGGAUGCUCACCUGUUCCAGCCAGAUACCUGCAUCAUGGGGUUGAUCUGAGCUGAGGAGGAGACUCCUGUUGUUUUGUUCAUCUUCAUCAUAAUAAUGACAACAUUAGAUGACAACAGGUGCUCACAUAGGUUUGUGCUGAUGAACAUGUCUGAGCAGCUUGACCACGUUGUUGUGUGUCGGGGAGGAAACACAACCACAGAGUUGUGCUGGUUUGAGCGUGUCGCUGCUCGCUGGAGUUAUAUCAGCUCUGUCUGGACGUUAGUUUGAAAACUUUCUCUUUCAGUCGUGAACACAUUACUGAGCGGCUAGAAUCUCCGUUUCUGGGCUUCAACGUCAGAAAACAGCUGAGUGAACUCGGCGCUGAGUGAGAGGAGUGUAGUUUGUCCGAGACAGCGGAGCUGCAGACACCCAACUACCUCUGACUGCCUCAGUGUUGCCAGAUCCAAAAUCCCACAAUAUCGUACAGAGAGGCUUAAAUUAUCGUUUUUCAGUACAAAUUAUCGUACAUUAUAAAUUUGAUAAUAAUGUUCUAUAAACGACUUCUCACUCCAAUAUAAUAUAACAAAGAAGGUGUUUUAUAUUGCCCUGUUUAAAUAAACAUCUUUAAAACCAGUAAUAUAAUGCUUAUAAACGUGCAGAGUGUGUCGGCACCACUCCGACCUCCACGCAUUGACACAGUAUGCACAUUUGCGCAGUCCUAUUUAUGUCAUCUCUACAUAGGUUAAAAGCACGCGACAAAACAUCACAGCAGUGGAAAAACUGACCCAAUAAAUGACACAGCAGCCUACUCACCUAGUUGCUGAUCUCAAUCUCAUCUGAUUCACUGUCUAUCGCAGCAGAAUGCCUUUAAUCAGCUGUACUAAGUGGUCUGUGCUUCUCAUUGCAAUGUUGUGCUCGGCUAAAAAGCCACAUAGCUUGAUUUCAGCGUUUUUCACAUCACUUUCAAACUUCUCUUUUUCAUUAGUUUGUAGGAGACAUUUAUAAACCUGUGAGCACUGAGGUGAAAUCUGACUUCAGAACAGUUUAAAAUUAUGUAAUUGACUUGAGAAAGCCACAGCAAAAGACGGUGUUACUAGGUGCAAUGUGAAAUUAUCGUACAUUUGAGGAUUUUUGAAACUAUUGAUCGUACAUCGUACAGAGCCCAAAAUUAUGGUACAAAUACGAUAAUUAUCGUACAUCUGGCAACACUGGACUGCCUCGGUGCUGAAAAAAACACAAAGGAGGGGGCACGUCUGCUCCGCGCUGGCGCCGCAAAGCAUCAUGGGAGUUGUAGUCUUUGCGGUAAAAUCGGCCAGCGGGCCAGUUUUAAUAUAUUUUUGAUAUUUAUCUCGCGGGCCACAUAAAAAUGCUCCGCGGGCCGCAUCUGGCCCGCGGGCCUUGACUCUGACAUAUGUGGAUUAGAUCAACAUUUGUCUCUAAUCUCGUGUUUUUAAGUCCCAUUGUGUUUUAAACUGAGGAAAGUUCCCAAAAGGUUUCAGAUCCUGUUCCUACAGCGACGUCAGUGGCUUCAGAGUUCAUGUCCAACUGAUCGUUUCCACAGAUGUGCAGAAUUAAAGUACACACAUGUCGUUGGUAAUAUUAGAUCCAAGAUGAAAUUCGGAUUCUGGGAACUAACUUCCUGGAUGCUAUCCUCUGAUUUCAUCAUGAAGGCUUUGAUAAAGCCUUGUUAUCACAGCAGAAGUUUCCAUCUUUAGACAUUUUUACUCUACAGGUGAAGAAAAUGACAUUUGUUCCUUAUUAUCUCCGUGAUUGUUAGAAAUACCAGUCAAGUCAGACUUUCAGGUCUUUGUCUUCUUGUGUUAAUUUGGACUCUUGUAGCAAAUCUUAACAAACUGAGAUUUAAAAGUGCGUCCAGGACUUCUCAGCGAUGGUGGACCGUCUGCAGCUUGCUCUCCUGGAAGCAUGCGUGGUGGUUGGAGCAUCCAGGGAAAAACUUCAGGAAGCCUUUCGGCUUUCUUUCACGAGGAACGCUUUUGACAGCAACAGAAGCCCAGAGUGAGUCCAGUUAGAACCUGAGGUUCUUCAUGCCUGGUUCCACCCUUUGUUACCAGGCCAGCAGGCGAUGAAGUGGUGAAUUCUGGUGAGAAGGGACAACCUUGUCCAGCUGCAGCAACAACCAUUCAAGGUGUAGUUUUUCUGUAAUACACGAACGAUCCAGACGCCAUUAGAGGAGAAAGAACGAUAAUUCUCUUCUGCACAAGAGAACACCGUGUAAUGGACCGGGACGACACAAGGAUCACACACCGAACAGCAGAAAGACAAAAGAUGGAUAAAAGAAGCUAUAGAGAUGAGGAGACGUGGAUGUGGGACCAUGAACAGGGACGAUGGAGUUUACACGCUGGACCGCACAUGGGACUGCAUCGUCGGAGAGGGCAGAACGGGCAGCAGAGGGCGACAACGCGGAUAAAUGAAGGAAGUGACGCCACCAUCAGCGUCAGCCUGAUGAUGCUUGCAGCUACAAACGAAACGUUGCAGCAAACCGAUGAUUUGGUCGAGUGCUUCCACCUGUUCCUUUGAUGCCGUUGAUGUUCCUGACCCUCCUGCAGCUGCUGCGCCCCGUUUCACACACGUGCCGGUCCCUGCACAUCUACUUUGACUUGGAUCAGAUCCACAGUGUGACGUGCACCAAGAUGGAGGAGCGGCGUGCACGAAGAAGAGCGUGGCAACACGGAUUAAACCAAGACAUCCGAAGAAUCGCACUGGAGCUGAUCGUCAACAUAUUCAGGGAUGUUGGCAGCCAUCUGAACCACGAACAUGGAGUAUUUCACAGUGAAGAGUUCCUUAAAACCAGAGAACCGGGUGAACAGCUGUCUUACAGGAAGGACCCUCUGUACAUGACUCCGGCUCUGACCAACGUCCUGCUGAUGGACGCUGUUGCUCGCUGCCUGCAGACACAGAACUCCAUCUCUGCUGCCUCAAAGCUGGCGUACUUUGAUAAAAUCAAGCAUGAAGCACCUAUGAUUGUACCUGAAACUACCUCAGAGGCUCUGAAGCACAAGAUCAACCCAUCAGUGGGCCUGGCAGAACCUCAGACGGUGCACCUGCUGCUCUACCCUCCAGACCUGCGUGAUGGGGCUGGUCCAGGAUCAGGUGUGGAUGGGAUCUCAGGACUCUGUUAUCUACAUCAUCAACACACUCAGCAUGUGCUGCAACAAGCAGCUGACUGAACACAGACAGGAAGUGACUGGUCUCGCUGUGGACCCCAGACACGUCAACAGCAGGUUGUGGUGACAGCAUUGUGGAGCUCAAAAAGAACGGUACACCACAAAGGACGAUAACACUUCCUGGUGAUUUGCAGAGCAUGCCCAGUAGCUUCAGGUGCUUUGUCGUCACCUCAGAGCGAGGGCUGUUAUUCACAGGCUGCUCAGACUCCGUGGAGUUGUGUCUGUGGCAAACCAACAGCUCCAAACAUCCGCUCAGAAGGAUCUCCCUUCCCAGACCUUCAGGAUCACCUGCAUGAUCCGAACCAGAUCUGGGUGGGCUGCCGUGGGCGGAGCAGUGGUGGAGGUUAUUGUGACGGUCUGUUGAGAAGCUGGGUGUUGGUGGUGGACCUGGACAGCCUCGCUGUGGUGAAGGAGCUGCUGGCCCAUUCCGACAACAUCCAGACGCUCUGCUGAGGACCGCUACGCCCUGAGUGGGUCUGCACGGCGGGAUGGCAAAGUUGAAUAGGACAAAAUGUCAUCACAGAUUUUCAAAGGAGAAACGGACCGAGGGACAGGGAAAUAAUAAACGUGUUUGCAGCAAUAUUGGAGUAAUAAAUGAGGUUUACUGUCGAAAACAGAUCAGUAAAUAUAUAGUUAGACUUUUUUAAUAGAAACAUUUCUAUUUUUGAAAACCUUGUAAAUUCUGCCAUCUGUUUUUGCUGACUUUAAAUACUUCCAUGCAAUGUGACAACUGCCAGAAAUGAUUCAAGUGCUAGUUGUUGUCUAAAAUAUCUGUGAUUGUAUUUUACUGUUUAUUAGAUUAUUAAAUGUUACAUUUAUUUUUGUGUUGAA